rnacentral:rRNA from 1 species
UACGUAGGGUGCGAGCGUUAAUCGGAAUUACUGGGCGUAAAGCGUGCGCAGGCGGCUUUGCAAGACAGGCGUGAAAUCCCCGGGCUCAACCUGGGAAUUGCGCUUGUGACUGCAAGGCUGGAGUGCGGCAGAGGGGGAUGGAAUUCCGCGUGUAGCAGUGAAAUGCGUAGAUAUGCGGAGGAACACCGAUGGCGAAGGCAAUCCCCUGGGCCUGCACUGACGCUCAUGCACGAAAGCGUGGGGAGCAAACAGG